UGUAAAAUAAACAUUUCUUUAGGAUCGUAUGACGUAAAUUACGAACUAAUUAAACACGGAUCGCGUUGAUAUCGUUUUAUCGCUUCGAAGAAAUUAAAAUGAGUUACGCAAUUCUCGCAUUAACUUGAAUUGUGCCUUUAAAUCGCAUCAAAAUUCGUAUCUUUUGAACGAAAUGCGUAACGCGUUGAACGUUGAGAAGUAUUCUUCCGUGACGGUGGGACGUUCCCCGAGUUAUUUUCAUCAAAGUGUAAAAUAUGUGACUAAUAAUACGAACGAAAAAUCUUUCCAACAAUGAGAAAUAACGACGAUCGAUAUUUAUUCACGCGGUGGCUCGAAUUUAUCUACAAAGAAUGCUUGAAUUUGCGAGGGCGUGCUUUCUAUGUGUAAAAGAGCGCGAGAAACGUGUACUUAGUUUGUCGGAGAUAACAGCAACGAUUAUGAUGCUGCUACCAAUCAUGACGACGACGAUGAUGGCAAUGAUGAUGAUGAUGAUGAUGAUGAUGAUGAUGAUCAUGAUGAUGAUGAUGAUGAGGAUGAUGAUGGUGAUGGUGACAGCGACGACGGUAAUGACGAUAGCGUUACACGGAACGGAAGUAAAUUGAUUUACGAGCGGAUCUUGCCAGGUGAUUUUCUGAUUAACUUACAAAUGCAAGUACGAAUGUUACGCAACGAUGUCUUAAAAUAAAAAAGUUUUACUUAUACAAAUUCGAUUCGGAGUUGAAUAAAAUUGUUGACGAACAAGAAUAUAAAAGCCAUUGAUUCGUUUCCUCGCUCGAUCUCUCAACGAGAAGUCGUUGAAAACGAAUUAAUCGACUCGAGUUUUUAUCCCAAUAAAAGAGCUCGUCAAAGUUUAUAGAAACGAUCUUUUACAAGCGCGAUGUAUCGCGAUAAGGAUAAUGGAAAGCGAAAGAGUCCAAGAUAGAGAUAAGUACUUACAACGUUCGAAGGAUCGAUAUCUCUUAAUUCGAUCUCGUCGAGAUAUUUCAAAUCUGUCAGUCUUUGUACGAUCUUGAUCUCGAUGAGGUUUGAUCCACGCUGCGAUAAAGAGACUUCUUCUUAUACGAUUCUUAUAACGGUUACACAUGUACGAGAUCGUAAAGAAUCGGUGCGCAUAUCGAUACGCUCACAUCUGCGAAACGGCUGUUACUGGAAUGUGUUGGACUGAUUGUCGAAACGAUUUCGUCGGAAUCGAUCGAAUCAAGGACGAAUUUACGGAACGUCAAGAUCGCGCUGACCCGUGAGCGACGACGAUCGGUAGCCGUCAAGUGGAUAAUUACCACGCUAUGAUUACCUACGUCUACCUAUCUAGCGUGCCUUGGCAUAGUGAAUGCCUAUCUCGUCCAUAACGCGUCUACUAAUAAAGGAGGACCGAGAGGACGGAGGGGCCGUGUAACCGAACGAUGAUCAUUUAAUUGUCGAAGGUCGUACGGCGUUUGUCGCGCCGGUACAAGGGAAAAGUAGUUUAAACCGUCGCGUCGUAAGGAUGGAUGGAUCAUCGACGAUCGUACUACGCCCGUGAUAGUCGCGUUCGAAAAGGAGCAGCUCGAGCGCAACUUCUUCAUCCUUUCGAAUUACGAACAUUAAUGAGUUUACUCCGAUGAGUCAUAUUAACGAGAGCAACAAUAACGUCGAUGAAUGAAAAAGUCCUUGCUUUAUACAAUUCUUUUUUUUCUCCAUCGUUCGUGUAAUCACGCAGUGACCGCGUGAAUAAACUCGUUAAGGAUGAUAAUCGAGUCAUUAAUAUACGGCAUAACAAUACGACUGACGCAACCGAUAAGAAAACCAUCGUCUUCGAUUUACAAUUAGUCUUUCCAAGAGUAACUCGGAGAGAAUAAUAUUAUAAGGAGCUUAUCGAUGGAAAUGAUAACUCGUAAUUAUAUUAACGUCAACCAGUGAAAAAUCUUCCUUUCCUCGUGGAACUCGACAACGGCACGUUUGUAAUUAAAUCGAGCGAGCAACACUUCGGUGUUGCGACACGUCUCUGGAAUAACUCGCACGAAGCGGAUGUUACUCGAAGUUUGCAUAAAAAAGCAAUUCAACUACUUCCAAAAUAUCCUCUAUCUCGAUCGCGAAAUUAACGCGAGCCGACGGGCGUGUAAAUAUUUCAAGAACAAAUUCAAUUACUCUCGGCUGUAAUUAGACGACAUGCGUCAUUUCAUUUUUCCUUUUUCCUUUCUUUCUAUUUCAAAUUCGUUCCCCUCUUGGCUACGGGGAAAUGUUCCAACCAGAAAUUAUGUUGGGCCGGGCAUAUCGAGAGGGCUUAACGACCUGGAAAAUUUAACUAGAGAAAUUAUCGAUAUAUCGUUGAAACGUGAAACGUUCACGGGCCAUCAUCGAUUACGAAUAAGAAGGCGAAUAAAGGGAAAACGACGUCGACGAGAUCUUAAUACAUUUAUCGAGUGUCGCGCAAAUGUUAUUUGUUCGAUAUCUCUUACAGAUGCAUGGACAGGUAUUCCAUUAUUUCGAAAUUUAUAGGAUAUCCGUUUUCCGCUGAAACUUUUUGCCAAAAUUAAAAAGAAAGAGAAAAAUGGAGCGGUCAAAAAAUUCAGCAGAGUCAUAAAAUAUGUGACCGAAAUGGGUACCGAGAUCGAUAUCUAGCUGACUACACGCUUUUCCUACGUACUUCUCUUAGCACAAUAAAAUGCAGAUUUAUGACUUAGGUACGCAUAAUCGCAAAUGGAUCUCCUAUUGCAAACACCCACAAGUGUGCAUCGUAAGCUUUAUAAACGUUGUCGACGAUGUGAAGGGACACGUAACUAGCUCUUACGUAAACGACACCGGGUAUAUACUCGUCGCGAACGAUUGCUAAGCUCGAAUCGUUGGCAAAUCGUACACAAAUCGCGUAUAAAUCGUACGUAUAAUCGUAUGAAAACCUGUGGACGGUACCGAUAUCGAUCGUUCGUUCCAUCGUGUAAAAGAUUUUCAUUUUAUCUAAAGGUUAACAGUUUUUCAUCGACUUUUACUCGUGUUUUUAUCGAAGGAAGUUCGGGACCAAAGGGGGAGAGAGAGAGAGAGAGAGACGAUCGAUCGGUAUAGCAAUUACAUCGUAUAAAAACCGGUAAGUAUCCGAAGAUUCUGUACGUCGUUUAGGUCGAACGCGUUACACACUGUCCGAAAGCUUUCGCAAUAUCGUUGUUAUUACGUAAAAGCUUUCCACGCGCACGGAAAUAAAAUAGAGAGAAUAUUUGACUAGCUUCUGUUCGAAGUAGUAUAGCUGCAAGUAUUCUGCAGAUAUAACAAAGUGGCAGAGAGAAAGAGAGAGAGAGAGAGAGAGAGAGAGAAAAGGGAGAGGAAGAUUACUACGACAACAAAGCCGAAAGUUCAUACGAAGAAAUCGUCGGAAAGCGUAAAUUGAAAUUAGUCAGCCUUGAAAUCAAAUUAGUCAAUUAGGUUUGACGGAAGAAGCGAAAGCAUCGUUCAAAUUCCGUUCUACCAUUAUGGCGUUUAGCGUUUUGAUGAUUCGAUCGUUAUCUCUUUCAUGGCUUAAUACCUACAUAGAUAAAUGGUACGCAUUAACGUGGCUAUUGUGCGAUAACGUGAGUUUACGUUCAUAUAAGGUCGGAUUAAUUUUAUCGUGUACGAUUAUGUGAAAUUUUUUUGUCCAAACUAUUAAGAUAAAGAUAAAGACGACUGGCGAGAAAUGAUUAUCGUAAUAUCAUUAUUAUGUCGUUCUUCCUGAUCUCGUUUAAAAUCCAUUAGGUUUUUGCAGUAAUAUGAUCAUUUGGAAUAUCAAUAGGAAAAUUCUCUCCCUAGUUAUGAUGAAUCAUCGCGAAUGAUUCGAACGAAGCACGUUCCCUAGAUCGAGCUAAUCUCUCGAUUUAUUUGAAAAUUUACUGUUUACUCGUUCGAACCAGUAUGUAACGUCGCGCAUCAAGAAGAAGAAGAUCGAAGAUAAACCGUACCGGUGCUAUUAUACGCGAUUAAUAACGAAAGAGUCAUCAUAAUAAGCCACAUAGUAGCGCAACGUUUAUAUCGAAUCUUGUACUUGACACACCUUCGAUUGCUUUCUAACGCACGGUUAUUCCUCGUAAUCAUUAUUAUUAUUUCAAUUCCAAGUAUCUAGCGAAUUGAUUAAAAGUGGAGAAGGUGGAACGAUUAGAUCGCGAAUGUUCAUUCUGUCUAAUUAUACAAAUAUUUGCGCCAUUGAAAUAAAACACGAGUAAACUCGUUUUCGUCAUUAUCUUUCAUAGGAAUUAUCGAAUAAUUAAAUAAACGAUUCGCCGAAUGUGGGCGACGAUCGAUAAAUCAAGGUAAAAGCAAAUUCGUCUCGAUAUUUCAUGGGCAGCGCGUUUAUCAACUUAUAUUUAACGAAUCAAUCUGCUUCUACCAUCGACGUAUCGAUAAUUUUAAUGCUAUCGAAUGGAAUGAAUGAUGAUCUCGCAAUGUUUCUACCCAUCGAUGUAACCUCUGUCAGAAUUUUAAUCCGAUAUCUUUCCGAUACGAAUGCAAGAACAUCCGCAAAAUGAUAUAAAAACAAAACGGACGAUUCAAUAUCAAUCAUUUUUUUUAUCUUUCGUACACGUUCUUUAUCUAAGUUUCGAUAUCGUAAGAAUUCUCUUCUUAAAAAAUGUUUCUUAUCGAGCGAUGGCGAUGUAUCAUAAACGUAUAAAUAAAAAGGAAAAGAAAAAAAAUCCGUCCUACUUGUAAAACGAAUAUGAGCUAUCCAUUCUCCGAGUACGCUGGAAAAAAGUCUAAAUCAAGUAUUCGAUCCAAUCGAUGCAGUCAAACUUUGCUCCUUGUCCUUUCGAGAACGAGAUAACGAGAGAGACAGAGAGAGAGAGAGAGAGAGAGAGAGAGAGAGAAAAGAAGAGAAGAAGAGAGAAGCACUCGUGCGACUAUGUUACGUAGGCGAAAGAUUUUCUCUCGGACGAUUUGCGAGCGAUUCAUGCACUUCUUACACGCACUGCACUCGCGUCGAACGAAACGUGGUGAAUGCACGCCGAACGACUGUUUACUAACGCAUCGCUCUUGCGUCUGACCGAACGCGCGCUUCUCGUCUCGUCUCUUCUAUCUGCUGUCCGUCUUCGUCUAUCUAUCGUAUCGGCAGCCACGACAAAACGACGAACGUAUCGGAAGGACCAACUCGGAGGGAGACUUUCUAUCUCGGACGAUUGAAAAAUAGGAUGGUUUGUGCGAUAGAAGAAGGUGGUAAACGAAUUGCCCUUUGUAAUUGCCGUUAUCCAAGAAGAUAAAGAUAAAUACUUUGACUCGAGGUCGAAACUACGAUGUUAGAUCGAUUUAUCGUCUCUCCGAGAGAAAAACUAGAACGGAUAAGAUAAAGUACGAAAUGAAAUAAUUGUAUGCAAAGUUACGGGAUUAUCUACGCUGCUCGCCUUCCGAUCUUCGUUUACUUUUGCGCGAUAAAGGUCGAUUAAGUGAUUUAUUUAAGAACGUCUAUCUGUAUUAAAUUAUCGUCCGAUCCGUUACUUUCGAUUGGUUCGUAAAGAAAAAGAAAAAAAAAAAAAAAAUUGUGAUGCCGAAAAAUCGUCGAUUACGAUCGCGAGGUUUGACCGGCGCCAAGCUUUCUCCGUGUAUAGAUACACGCGCGUGUUGAUAAUAUCGAACGCAUGUAAUACGCGCAACUCAAGAUCGGACUCAGACUCGUAUAUAUAGAUGUAAUAGAUUCGACCAUCGAAAAACGGACGCGCUGUCUGGCCCGUCUCUCGUUAACCGCCAAGGUCGUUCUUCCACCCUUCACCUCUUCGAGAUUAUCUCAACGAAGUUCUACUCGGCGAUAUCUAAUCGCCAUUAGAUAUUUAUUAGAACGACAAAAACAACUAUAUUCCAGUUUAUUUGCGCUAGCCUCGAGAUGCAACGUAACUUGGAAAAAAAUAUUCUUUAUCAUCCGUUCACUUACGUGCGGCAUGUAGAAAUUUUGCAUUUUAUCAAAAAGACUACUUGUUAUCUCGCUUUCUCAAAUAAACGGAUAAAUUCUACCUCAAAAGUCGAAAAAAAUAUUUACUUUCGACUUACCCUCUGCUUCACUGACAACGACGAACGCAGAGCCGCGUUCCCGACGGUCCUCCUCCAGAUACUGUCGCUUUCUAUCAAGCUCUCGGCAUCGUGCCGUCCGUCGAGAGAGCUACGCGUUGCCGUGGGAACGAGAAGCCGCGACGAUCUCGAUUAAACUUUCAUUUCAAGAUUCGACUUUGCGCGAUGCAUCAACCGUUCUUCCCUAAAAUCAACAAAAACGUGCUUGUGGUCGUAGCAUCGCGCGUCGUUGGAAAUACACGUUGCGAAAGAAAGCGUUUCGAGUUCUAACGAUGUUAUAAUACGCGUAUAUACGUAUACUUGUAUAUAUAUACACACACAUAUAUGUAUGUGUGUGUGUGUACGUGUAGAUAAAGAUGCAAAAGAGAAAAGGCCUCGCCCUUUAUCAGCGACGGAGGAUAGCCGUGAACGUUGCCUUGAACUUUUCUCGCCCCUCUUUUUUACCUCGCUUUUAUUUCAUCGAAUCAUCGAUUGCGAACAAACGCGAGAAGAAAAAAGACGCGAACUCUCGCGUCUAUCUCGAUCGAGUUCGGUGACACGCGACGCGCCUUCGGACGGUCGAAUGCGUUCUCUCCUCCCCCGCCCCACCCACCGUAGACAACAACUUAUAUUUUAACCAGCUAGAAAAAGGAGCACGAAACGAAGUUUCUAUUCUCUCGAGAGAUAAUGGCAAGGCGAGUUAAUCCGCGACAAAGUUAACGUUCGGUCAAAAGUGGGUAACGAUUCGCCGACUCCGUUAAUUCGAUUUGCCGAACUUAUUAAUGAGAUCUCGGGGGAUGGCGCGGACGUCGGACCGAUUCACGUAUUUCCAGGGCGUAUUCUUCGCGAGCCAUUCGUAAUGGCAUCUUAGCGCGUUCUCAUAUCGAGGUGCAAUGUGAAUCCCCGAAUCGUCUAUAUUCUUAAAACAUUGAGACGCACGAGUUUUCGAGGGGUCGAUCCACCGGCGAUAAGACGCGCAUCCUCUCGAAGAAGUGGCGUCGAGUUGUCGCAGAAGAGAAAAAACGCGAGCUCUCUCGGCCAAGUCCAGUUUUGGUCCGAUUAUAGUAAAGAGGGAUGAAGAUUGAUGGAUGGACCGAGAAGAGUGUAAGAGAUAAGAGAGACAAGGAGUAAGAAAGAGAUAGAGACAGAGACGGAGACAGAGAGAGAGAGAGA